rnacentral:rRNA from 1 species
GACGAACGCUGGCGGCGUGCCUAAUACAUGCAAGUCGAGCGGACAGAAGGGAGCUUGCUCCCGGAAGUUAGCGGCGGACGGGUGAGUAACACGUGGGCAACCUACCCUGUAGAUCGGGAUAACAUCGAGAAAUCGGUGCUAAUACCGGAUAAUCAUUUGAAGUGCAUGCUUCGAAUGUAAAAGAUGGCUCCGGCUAUCACUACGGGAUGGGCCCGCGGCGCAUUAGCUAGUUGGUAAGGUAAUGGCUUACCAAGGCAACGAUGCGUAGCCGACCUGAGAGGGGGAUCGGCCACACUGGGACUGAGACACGGCCCAGACUCCUACGGGAGGCAGCAGUAGGGAAUCUUCCGCAAUGGACGAAAGUCUGACGGAGCAACGCCGCGUGAGUGAUGAAGGUUUUCGGAUCGUAAAGCUCUGUUGUCAGAGAAGAACAAGUCGGAGAGUAACUGCUCCGGCCUUGACGGUAUCUGACCAGAAAGCCACGGCUAACUACGUGCCAGCCGCCGCCGUAAGAC